UGGGGCAACGAAUGCCAGGAAAGCCUAGAAAGCGCGGUAACCAACCAACGAAAGGAAGUAAACGCGACAACCAGGCAGCGACAACGAGAUUCCCACUGUCCCUAUCUACUAUCUAGCGAAACCACAGCCAAGGGAAUGGGCUUGGCGGAAUCAGCGGGGAAAGAAGACGCUGUUAAGCUUGACUCUGGUCCGACUUUGUGGAACGACAUUGGGGCUGUAGCAUAGGUGGGAGCUUCGGCGGUCGUGAAAUACCACUACCCUCAGUGUCGUUUUACUUAUUCCGUCAAGUUCAGAUGCAUGCAACGCAUGUGGCGUUGCCUUAAGGUGCCUUUCGGGGUGCUGAUCAAUGCGGAAGACACAGUCAGGUGGGGAGUUUGGCUGGGGCAGGGCGUAACAAGCGCCUCACCUUCUUCUGCAGCAAGCACGGUCAAAGGAUCCGAGGUUGUAAACGCAUGACGCAACACUGGACGAGCAGUGCGUCAAGCACCGUCACCGUAGAAACAACCAACACGAGCAGGUAAACUAUCGGGCCCCCAUGCAACGUGCGGAGCAGUGGUGAGGCGGAAAGGGAUAACAACCUCACCGACAGAUCCUUC
rnacentral:ncRNA from 1 species